rnacentral:misc_RNA from 1 species
GAAAUGCGAUAAGUAAUGUGAAUUGCAGAAUUCAGUGAAUCAUCGAAUCUUUGAACGCACAUUGCGCCCGCCGGCACUCCGGCGGGCAUGCCUGUCCGAGCGUCAUUUCAACCCUCAGGGCCCCCUUCCGGGGGGGACCUGGCGCUGGGGAACACCAAC